GAGCAGAAGGAGAAUGGGAGGUGCCUGACGUGGUGCAUUAUGCACUAAUUGUAUUUGGCUUGUUUGCUUCUGCCUUUCUGUCUUUUGCUGCUUUUAAACUAAGGAAACAAUUAUCACCAUAUUUUGUAUUUUCAAAUUAAAAUUCACCUCUAGAAUAUUGCUAGUAAUUAAAGAGCUUCCAAAGAGCUGUGCUAGGAGAAGGACCAGGAGCAGACUUAAUCUGAACACUAGGGAAGAACCUUAAAACAAACGUCCCAGUUUUACUUAACCAACCGGAACCCUAAUGCCUGCUGAUUGUUUAGAUGAGUGGUCUGAAGACACACCUGUUGGUUUGGUCUCUUAGUAAGACUGUGUCUCUUAGGCACGUUCUUUGCAGCUUCAUUGCAAUGAAAAAUAUCAAAGGUAAAUGCCAAAUCAAUUUUUCAGUAUUGUACUUGCAAAGGCAGUCCAUGAAGUGGUGAAUGGAAGCAUCAGACUUUUAUGGUAAUCUUGUAAUCUAUUUCGAGUUCAGUAGGAGAAGCAGCAUGGCCCAGUGGACUACGGGAUGAUUGGGAAAUGGGAGCUCUGAGAGAUAAUCUAUUUUGCAAUUGACUAGCUCUGUGACCUUGAAAAAGCACAUUAACCUCCGUCUACUUCCUCAUAUGUAAAACGGGAUCUACCUGAUAGAGAUGUAGGUACAUUUUGAUUUGUGCGAACUGAGCAAGAAGAAAGAUUUUAUACAAAUCAGGAGUGACUUUUUUCAUAUUGAGGAGGUAAUGGUUUAUAAAAAGAUUCUCCCUAGAGUUCUUUUAAGAUCCAGCCUCUGCUCAGUCUUACACAUUGUGAUUAAUUGACACAAGCUAACUUUAUAUAUGCCAGUUUAAAAAACACCUGUUGGAUAGAGUGAGAAAAAUAUUCUGAUAGAGUUAUGAUAAGAACUGUGUAAACCCGUGUGAAAUACUUAAAAAUAGUGUUUUUUAGGCAGCAGUAAACAAGAUAUUCUCAUGCCUUAGAUUUCAGGGUGAAUUUUUUCUAGUACGAGAAUGACAUUCGUGCUAGUUCCUCCAUAUUUUGGCUAACUAGUUGGCCUGGGCAUCAUUACAUUGCUCUUGGCGUUAUGAGACCGGUGCUGAGUCCCCCACGCACACUGGUGCCCCAGUGCCAUCGUGCUCCAGUCAGGAAUGGCUCUCGGCAGUUUCAUGUUAUUUGCCGCUACUGGAAUUUGGAUGUGACAGUACCCAAGGUUUGAUUUGUACUAUGGCAGUCUUAGAGCUACUGGUGAAUUAAUUAUGUAGAGGGCAAAAUCUCCCAAAAACUGACAUGUAAACAAAGGAUUAAGCAGUAGGAAGAAAUAAAGAGUAGUUUGUUACAUAUUUAUGUUGAACUUACAUAACAGACUUACUUAUUUAAAAGUAUAUUACUGUAGGAAGUAUAUUUUGCCAGGUUUCACAUAGAGCAGGCACUGAGGUUCAGAGAUUAAGUGGCAGAAAGUACCCCAAUCUUAGUAAGAACCCAAGUUUGUUGCCUUCCCAGGCCAGAGGGCAUCCUGAAGUGUCAGAAAGGUGUUGCUUGAUUGGGUUGUGGAGCAGACUGACAUUUGCAUCUGAGUUGCUUUUGAAGGAGUGUCCCCCCCCCCGCCCCCCCACCAGAAAAAUAGGGAAACGUGAUUUGCUUAUAACUCCAAGAUAAAAUAUUUUUGCUCAUCAAAAAGAGACUCCCAGGGAGUUCCCGUUACGGCUCAGAGGGUUAAGAACGCAACUAGUGUCCAUGAGGAUGCAGGGUCGGUCCCUGGCCUUGCUCGGUGGGUUACAGAUCAGGCGUUGUCAUGAGCUGUGGUGUAGGUCGUAGAUGUGGCUCGGAUCUGGCCUUGCUGUGGCUGUGGUGCAGGCCGCCAGCUGCAGCUCUGAUUGGACCCUUAGCCUGGGAACCUCCAUGUGCCGCAGGUGUGGCCCUAAAAAGACAAAAAGAAGAGGGACUCCCAAACCAGUCUGAAGAUGAAUGUUGCUGUACCGUGUUUUCCAGAAAGAAUUCCGUGUCUGAGCCUCAUUGUUGUACAGAUUCCUGGCACGUUACUGCUAACUUGUAAAUGCUCAUUUACAGAAAACAGUGACUAGACUCUUCAGGAGUUCUUUUAUAUUGUUGACAUUUCUGAGUUAAAGCUAGUUUUCCAUUCAUUUUAGAGGAAGGUUUCCCCGAAAUUUCAUCUUGGUUGCAAAACAUAUCCCCAGAGAUUCCAGUCAGCAUAACUCAUGCCGACCAGAUGGUUCCAAAUGUGACAGCACAGAAGCCAGCGAGUCCGUGAAAGUAGGCGGAAGGCAGGGGGAUGGACCGGCCUCCCUUUGCCCGAGUUACCUGGGUAAGUGCUUCAGUCUCUGGUUUCAGCUGGCCUCAAGGGAAUGUUCAGCCAGAGAGAAAUUUUGUGGCCUUUUGUGAUCCUACACAUGUUUUGCUAUUGCAAGUAUGGAUUUAUAGUCACAGCUCAAAAAGUGCAUUCAAGUUGUUUUUUGGUUUAGUGAUUUCAAUUCCUGGGAGGGAGGGGUUGGUUGGAUUAGAUUUCUGUUUGUUUUCUCUCAGGAAGCUAAGGCAAGUUCUCCGAUGACGGUAUUUGAUGGAUAAACUCCCCUCUGCCUCUCUCUCCCACCACCACCUCUCUUUCUCUAUCUUCAUGCUUAUCUUCAUGUUUAUCUUCAUCUCUUUUUUUUUCUACCUCUUCUUUAGGUGUAUAUUAAACAGAAAAAAAUUUUUCAGCCCAAUGACUGAGUGAAUUGCAACAUUAAAGAUUGCUUGGCCAAAAAACUCAUAAUUUUUCUGUGGAAGCCUUUAGGGGCCAACUUCAAAUACAAAUAUGUUGGAAAUCUUUUUGCCGUUCCAGCUCAACUGACCCAGAAAAAUUUUAAGAGCAAUAGUGAGUGCUUAGCAGGAAAAAAGAUGCUAUUGUAAAUCUCAUCUUUAGCAUGGCGCUUAUAUAUCACAAGCUUGACAGCCUUACAGAUUGCAUGCAUGCUGCAUUUGACUUCAGAAAUUUAUGCUUUAAACACAGUUCUACCUUAAAGUUUCCUGUGUACUUAGUGACUUAUGAAUAAGUUUAACUUUUGUUAAAUAGGUUAUUUUGCAUAUAAAUACCGCAGUGCAUUGAAGAAGUGUUAAGAAUUGUUACUCCACAUAUCUGACAGUUUAAAAGCAGUGUUCCUUUUAAGCAGCCUAUUGAAGGAAGUUCAAUAAAUGAAUAACAGAAAAGGGGCAAAAACCAUACAUGUGGGUCCUGCUUAUAAACUAUUUUUGCUGUUAAUUUUGGCCCAUUUCGUGAUGGAUUAUCUUUCUCUUUGGGAAUCUAGAGUUAGAAAGUAGGCAUGCUGUGCUGCUCCGCCUCCUGGUCAAAGUGACAGCAUAAUGGAGAAAAGAUUAGGAAACAAUGUUUGCAAAGACUCAUUUAGUGCAGAUGAAUAUGUUAAUCUGAUUUUUCUUUCAUUAGGGACCUGUGAGGGCGCUUCCAUUUUGUUCCCCUUGGGGAAGAAGCAUAUGAGGUGGAAUUUUUACUCAGGUCUGCUCUUUGUUAGGUUUGUGUUAAUGAGUGCCCUGGCAGUGCCACCUUGGACUUACCCUGAGGGAGUUUGCUUAACCCCAAACUUAGGGCUGCCAUUUAUGGAAGAUCACGUAUGUCUCUCCAUGUUAAUCCCCACGACUCCAAAGUAUUGUUUCCAUUUCGUAGAUGGAGGCACUCUGGCUCAGAGAUGUUGAGUAGCUCAUCCAAGGUCACAUUUUUGGUUAAGUGUCCAAGCUGGGAUUCCAGCCUACGUCAACUGACACAACACACAUGGUCCAACUACUCCUCUAGAUGCCUUUCCCAGGACGCAUGACCCCUGCUGGACACUGGGUUGGCAUGGAGCACAGCCUGGUGGAGCCUCCUGUCGCUUCCAGGUCACCCCCCAGAGAACACAGGUACGGAUUCGAAUCCACCCGUUUCAUAGCAGUGCUGAUUUUAUACCCUCUUGUUUUAGGCAUGUUUUUUUCUGGAAGAAAGAUGAUGGACUAAAAUGCUGCAUCCGUUUUUGAAAAAUUUUCCUAAUCGUUAAGUCUCAGUCUGGAUCCCACUAAUAAGAUGUGAAGUCAUGUCCCACAGAAUAAAGUGCCAAAUUCCAUAAUUCUCUUUCUGAUCAGUGAGUUCCAAGCUGUUUGGCUUCAUGUGAAUUAAAGAUUUCUCACAUACCGUCCACUUGUUUUUGUGAUUCUUCAUUUUUUGCAGAAGCCUCUGUUUUAUAGACAUAAGUGUUUUCUUUUUCUCACUAUUUUAUGGAAGGUAGUGACUGGGAGGAAAGGAAACUAUUACUAAGCGUAAGACCGACUGCAUGAGAAAUCUUUUCUAGUGUGAUUUCCAAAUGCACCUGUUCUGACCAUGAUUCACUAAGGGGGCUGCUGCUCAAAGAGGGACUGAAGGGGAGCUAACCUCUGCUGUUUUACCGCCCCCUGCCCCCGUGUCGUCUGGCUACUUAUGACUGGUUCCCUCUCUUCUCCUCCCUUCUGUCUGUGUUCACUCCCAGGGGCCCUCAUCUUUUCUCAUGGAUUUAUGGUGUUUACUCCCAAACUUAUAUUUCUAGCCUGACCCUCUCCCCUAUAUUCAUUUGUUAGCCACAGGAUUGUGUAGUGAAACAGAGGGCUUUCUUUCCACUAGAAAUACUUAAAAAGGCAGGAUUCUUGCUCUCCACUAAAGGUUACCUUUGGAAAUUAGGUCUAAAUUAUGUUUAAGGUUGUAAACGCACUUAAGCAUCAUGCGACUUGGGUGCUAAGUUACUGUAAAGAGUUAGUUCCAUAAUGGUUCCAAAUAAUCAUGUCGUUUUAUUUUCUGUGUAAUACGGAUUUUAAUUACAACACUGUUGAGCACUGAGGACACUUUGCAUUCACUCACAAAAAAUAAUGUGACGAGUUGAAGUGAGGUGACAUGUGAUGGAUUCAGUGGGAGUUUGGAUCAAUUUGCAUUUCAGUGGUAUUUUAUGUCUCACUUCAAAAAACUUUUUAGAUAGGAUUUCUUGGUAAAUUAAAGGAUUUAGGAGGAUGAUUAUAAGGUAAUUGAUUAAAAAGUGUGCAAUAUUAGUUUUCAUUGAGCUUAAGCUUGUACGGGUUCAAUCUAAAGCCUAAUUCAAUACAUUUUAGGUUUUAUAUUUCCCUGAACCUCUUUUGAAGUACUGAUUUUGUCAUGCUUGUCAUUCUAAUCUAAUGAUGAUUUAAUGUUUGCAAACCUGAAUAAAUUUGUAUGCAAAGAGUUCUGCUGUGUUUUUAAUCAAUGAAGAUUGAAAUUUGGCAACUGAGAUGAUAAAAAAUGAAAAAUUUUAAAUAGAAAAUGAAAAUAAUGAUUAUACUUUAGAAAAUACUUUUAUUAAUGUUCUUGGCUAUGAACCACAUAAUAUUUUCAUCUUAUUGCAUAACAUUUAGAAAGAUGAUUGAACCUUCAAAGAAGUAAUUAGUACUAAAUUGUGAAGAAUAUUUAAAUUAGAACAAUGUCUUUGUGCUCAUUUUCUUCCCUCUUUCCCUGAAACCUAUGCUCUAGAAUUGCAAAUAAAAGCAAGAUGCUAGACUACUUUUUAAAAAAAACUCAUCUACCCUCCCUAGGAACCUUCAUAGGCAAUAGAAAGUAUAUCUUUACUUCAUUAUUAUUUGUUGAUUAAAAGAAAAAUGUAGAGCUGGAGUUGGUGGCUCAGCAGAAAGGAAUCUGAUAGGAUCCAUGAGGACGCAGGUUUGAUCCCUGGCCUUGCUCAGUGGGUUAAGGAUCUAGCGUUGCCGUGAACUGUGGUAUAGGUCGCAGACACUGUUAGGAUCUGGCUUUGCUGUGGCUGUGGUGUAGGCCAGUGGCUAUAGCUCCGACUCGACCCCUAGCCUGGGAAUCUCCAUAUGUUGCAGGCGCGGCCCUAAAAAGAUUUUUUUUAAAAAAUGUAGAGCUUGGCAGUGGGUUAACGAUCCGGCGUUGCCAUGGGCUGUGGUGUAGGUUGCAGAUGCGGCUCGGAUCCCGCGUUGCUGUGGCUCUGGCGUAGGCCGGUGGCUACAGCUCCGAUUCGACCCCUAGCCUGGGAACCUCCAUAUGCCGCGGGAGCGGCCCAAGAAAUAGCAACAACAACAACAACAAA
rnacentral:lncRNA from 1 species